rnacentral:rRNA from 1 species
AGUGAACGCUGGCGGUAGGCCUAACACAUGCAAGUCGAACGGCAGCACAGUAAGAGCUUGCUCUUACGGGUGGCGAGUGGCGGACGGGUGAGGAAUACAUCGGAAUCUACUUUUUCGUGGGGGAUAACGUAGGGAAACUUACGCUAAUACCGCAUACGACCUACGGGUGAAAGCAGGGGAUCUUCGGACCUUGCGCGAUUGAAUGAGCCGAUGUCGGAUUAGCUAGUUGGCAGGGUAACGGCCCACCAAGGCGACGAUCCGUAGCUGGCCUGAGAGGAUGAUCGGCCACACUGGAACUGAGACACGGUCCAGACUCCUACGGGAGGCAGCAGUGGGGAAUCUUGCACAAUGGGCGAAAGCCUGACCGAGCAACACCGCGUGGGUGAAGAAGGCCUUCGGAUCGUAAAGCCCUUUUAUUGGGAAAGAAAAAAUGCGGAUGAAACCACGCAUGUCUUGACGGUACCUAAUCAGAAAGCCACGGCUAACUUCGUG